rnacentral:snoRNA from 1 species
ACGACCUUACUUGAACAGGAUCUGUUCUAUAGGCUCGUACCGUUGCAUCCUUUACCGAUAAGGAGGCAAGCACUCAAGUCUGGUUGAUGUGACAUGACCUCUGGGCCAGAGCGUGAUUAACGGCUAGGAUGCCCCAUGAUGGAUCCAUCCGACGGCUGUAGAGGAUCGUUCCUGCCUGGUUCACUCCGGUGCAGGGUGGCGCAGAGGUUGUCUGACAGACA